UACGUAGGGGGCAAGCGUUGUUCGGAAUUACUGGGCGUAAAGGGCGCGUAGGCGGCACAGCAAGUCGGGAGUGAAAGCCCGGGGCUCAACCCCGGAACUGCUUUCGAAACUGCUGAGCUAGAGUACAGAAGGGGCAACCGGAAUUCCCAGUGUAGCGGUGAAAUGCGUAGAUAUUGGGAAGAACACCUGAGGCGAAGGCGGGUUGCUGGGCUGAUACUGACGCUGAGGCGCGAAAGCCAGGGGAGCAAAC
rnacentral:rRNA from 1 species